AACGAACGCUGGCGGCAGGCCUAAAACAUGCAAGUCGAACGGGUGUAGCAAUACAUCAGUGGCGCACGGGUGAGUAACGCGUGGGAACGUGCCCUUCAGUACGGGACAACGUCGGGAAACUGACGCUAAUACCGUAUAAUAUCUCCGGAUCAAAGAUUUAUCGCUGAAGGAUCGGCCCGCGUCUGAUUAGUUUGUUGGUGAGGUAACGGCUCACCAAGACUACGAUCAGUAGCUGGUCUGAGAGGAUGAUCAGCCACACUGGGACUGAGACACGGCCCAGACUCCUACGGGAGGCAGCAGUUAGGAAUAUUGGACAAUGGGGGAGACCCUGAUCCAGCCAUGCCGCGUGUGUGAUGAAGGCCUUAGGGUUGUAAAGCACUUUCGUUGGGGAUGAUAAUGACCGUACCCAAAGAAGAAGCCACGGCUAAAUUCGUGCCAGCCGCCGCCGUAACAC
rnacentral:rRNA from 1 species